GAUGAACGCUGACGGCGUGCCUAAUACAUGCAAGUCGAGCGAACGGACGAGAAGCUUGCUUCUCUGAUGUUAGCGGCGGACGGGUGAGUAACACGUGGAUAACCUACCUAUAAGACUGGGAUAACUUCGGGAAACCGGAGCUAAUACCGGAUAAUAUUUUGAACCGCAUGGUUCAAAAGUGAAAGACGGUCUUGCUGUCACUUAUAGAUGGAUCCGCGCUGCAUUAGCUAGUUGGUAAGGUAACGGCUUACCAAGGCAACGAUGCAUAGCCGACCUGAGAGGGUGAUCGGCCACACUGGAACUGAGACACGGUCCAGACUCCUACGGGAGGCAGCAGUAGGGAAUCUUCCGCAAUGGGCGAAAGCCUGACGGAGCAACGCCGCGUGAGUGAUGAAGGUCUUCGGAUCGUAAAACUCUGUUAUUAGGGAAGAAUAUAUGUGUAAGUAACUGUGCACAUCUUGACGGUACCUAAUCAGAAAGCCACGGCUAACUACGUG
rnacentral:rRNA from 1 species